CCUGAUACCUCAGAGGGUAAAGAAUUUGCCUGCUAUGCAGGAAACCCAGGUUCGAUCCCUGGGUCAGGA
rfam:Ovis aries breed Texel chromosome 3, whole genome shotgun sequence.